rnacentral:rRNA from 1 species
AGAGUUUGAUUAUGGCUCAGGAUGAAUGCUAGCGAUAGGCCUAACACAUGCAAGUCGAGGGGCAGCACAUGAAGUAGCAAUACGGAUGGUGGCGACCGGCGCACGGGUGAGUAACGCGUAUGCAACCUGCCUACAACAGGGGAAUAACCCGUUGAAAGACGGACUAAUACCCCAUAACACAGGGAUCCCGCAUGGGAAUAUUUGUUAAAGAUUUAUCGGUUGUAGAUGGGCAUGCGUUCCAUUAGCUUGUUGGUGAGGUAACGGCUCACCAAGGCAACGAUGGAUAGGGGAACUGAGAGGUUUAUCCCCCACACUGGUACUGAGACACGGACCAGACUCCUACGGGAGGCAGCAGUGAGGAAUAUUGGUCAAUGGACGCAAGUCUGAACCAGCCACGUCGCGUGAAGGAAGACGGCCCUACGGGUUGUAAACUUCUUUUGUAAGGGAAUAAAGUGUAGUACGUGUACUAUUUUGCAUGUACCUUACGAAUAAGGAUCGGCUAACUCCGUGCCAGCAGCCGCGGUAAUACGGAGGAUCCGAGCGUUAUCCGGAUUUAUUGGGUUUAAAGGGUGCGCAGGCGGGAGAUUAAGUCGGCGGUGAAAUUUUGCAGCUCAACUGUAAAAGUGCCUUCGAAACUGGUUUUCUUGAGUGUGGAUGAAGUAGGCGGAGUUUGUGGUGUAGCGGUGAAAUGCAUAGAUAUCACGAGGAACUCCGAUUGCGCAGGCAGCUUACUAAACCAUAACUGACGCUCAGGCACGAAGGCGUGGGGAUCAAACAGGAUUAGAUACCCUGGUAGUC